GCGCCCAUAGCUCAAUUGGAUAGAGCAUCAGAUUGCGGAUCUGAAGGCUGGGUGUUCGAUUCACCCUGGGCGCG
rnacentral:tRNA from 2 species